rnacentral:tRNA from 1 species
UUAGAUAGGAGCUGAAUAGCAUUUUCAUUGUUAAUGAAAGGAUGAGUUAAAGCGAGGUAAA